rnacentral:rRNA from 1 species
UACGUAGGGUGCAGGCGUUGUCCGGAAUUAUUGGGCGUAAAGAGCGUGUAGGCGGCCCGAUUAGUCCGCUGUGAAAGUCCAGGGCUCAACCCUGGAAUGCCGGUGGAUACUGUCGGGCUAGAGUCCGGAAGGGGCGAGUGGAAUUCCUGGUGUAGCGGUGAAAUGCGCAGAGAUCAGGAGGAACACCGAUGGCGAAGGCAGCUCGCUGGGACGGUACUGACGCUGAGACGCGAAAGCGUGGGGAGCAAACAGG